rnacentral:lncRNA from 1 species
UGUUCCUGUAAGGAUGUCAUCAGGCCCCAGAGGAACAGAACACUUACAGAGGAAAACAAUGGUAUGAUACACCUUGAUAUACAUCAGCCAGUUUAUUAGGUACAGCACCUAGUUCUCCAAAACGGAUCGCUCCAGACAGUGGGUAACGUGGCCGUUGCUUGCUAUAUAUAGCAUGCAUAUAGGCAUUGAGGCAUUGAGUUACUGUUGGAUUGAACGUUAGAAUAGGCAAAACAAGAGACCUAAGCAACGAUGGUCAGUGCCAGGCACGCCGGAUACAGUCUCUCAGAAACAGCAGACGACCUUUACCGAGAACGGUUUGACCAACAAAAAACAUUCAGUCAGCGGCAGUCCUGUGGGCAAAAACAGCUCAUUGAUGAGAGAGGUCGAAGGAGAACGGCAAGAAUCACGCAAGCGGACCACAAACAGACAAAUCACAACGCAGAACAACAGUGGUGUACAGAACGGCAUCUCGGAACACACAACUCGUGGAUCCUUCACGGAUCGGCUAUUGCAGCAGACAACCACACAGGGCUCCAGUGGGCACGCGAUCACCAACACUGGACAAUUGAGAAGUGUAGAAAUAUUGCCUGGUCAGGAUUUGGUGUAAACAGCAUGAGUCCAUGGACCCAUCCUGCCUGGUGUCAGCGGUAUAGGCUGAUGGCAGAGUCAGGAUUUGGUGUAAACAGCAUGAGUCCAUGGACCCAUCCUGCCUGGUGUCAGCGGUACAGGCUGAUGGCAGAGUCAGGAUUUGGUGUAAACAGCAUGAGUCCAUGGACCCAUCCUGCCUGGUGUCAGCGGUACAGGCUGAUGGCAGAGUCAGGAUUUGGCGUAAACAGCAUGAGUCCAUGGACCCGUCCUGCCUGGUGUCAGCAGUACAGGCUGGUGGUGGUGGACCGCUGUCCAAUCUGCAGCAACUGCAUGAUGCCAUCGCGUCAGCAUGGACCAACAUCCCUGUGGAACAUUUCCGACUUGUAGAAUCCAUGCUCGAAGAAUUCAGGCUGUUCUGGAGGCAAAUGGGGGUCCGACCCGGUACUAGAUGGGUGUACCUAAUAAACUGUCCAUACACCUGAUAAUAAUACAUCUGGAUACCCUCACCAAGCCCUUAUUGGGUUAGGGUUAGAUAGUGUCAUGAGGGAGAAGAAUAUGGCCCUUAAAAGAGAAAACACACUAUGUAAUACACCCAGAUACUCAACAAGCCUUACUGUAAUAGACAAAUAAUAAUCUGACCUGAAUUAAUCAUCAAAUAGAAAUGGGAGUUCCUCCUUCACAAUCAGAAUAAAAUGUACAGUCUUAAAUCACAACCAGAAUAAAACGGAUAGUCUUGACAAUCUGUCAAACAAAACCGCCACUCAACACAUACAGUAACCUAAUCUUAACCCAGGAUGGGGGAGGGUACUAUCCUAACCCAGUACAGGGAUGGGGAGGGUACUAUCCUAACCCAGUACAGGGGAGGGCGCAAUCCUGCAGAAUAAAAAACAUUUUGGAAGGCAGAUAAAAAUAAGACUGAACAAAUUUGAUUACGAGGUUCAAUGUUUUACAUGACAAUGCAUGUUAAAACACUGCAGAUGAACCAUGCUGGUGCCUUUCCCUACAGGACUAACUGGAACUUCCUGUACCCUGUCAUGUGACUAUGGAGUUUCCUGUAUCUGUGUGUGUGUGUGUGUGUGUGUGUGUGUGUGUGUGUGUGUGUGUGUGUGUGUGUGUGUGUGUGUGUGUGUGUGUGUGUGUGUGUGUGUGUGUGUGUGUGUGUGUGUGUGUGUGUGUGUGUGUGUGUGUGUGUGCUAUUGGACCAUGGUAAUAUCCCAAGGCAUUAGUGUUAGCUAGGUUUAAGCUUAGGUUUAGUUUUAGUGCUAGGUUUAAGCUUAGGUUUAGUUUUAGUGCUAGGUUUAGUUUUAGUGCUAGGUUUAAGCUUAGGUUUAGUUUUAGUGCUAGGUUUAAGCUUAGGUUUAGUUUUAGUGCUAGGUUUAAGCUUAGGUUUAGUUUUAGUGCUAGGUUUAGGGUUAGGUUUAGGCGUAGGUUUGCUCUGUACAGAUGGCUUUAGUGAAAUAGCACCGUUUUCUGUGUAAAAAUACUGUCCUGAACCUUUUACUCUGCCUUACAGCAUCACAGACAGGUAUAAAAUCCAUACAAACCAGUAGCUAGGGAUAUUAGAAAA